AGCAGUCGCCGCGGGAAAACGGAGGGGGCUAGCGUUGUUCGGAAUUACUGGGCGUAAAGCGCACGUAGGCGGCUUGGUAAGUUAGAGGUGAAAGCCUGGAGCUCAACUCCAGAAUUGCCUUUAAGACUGCCGAGCUAGCAGGUGAGAGAGGUAAGUGGAAUUCCGAGUGUAGAGGUGAAAUUCGUAGAUAUUCGGAAGAACACCAGUGGCGAAGGCGGCUUACUGGCUCAUACUGGACGCUGAGGUGCGAAAGCGUGGGGAGCAAACAGGAUUAGAUACCCGGGUAGUCCCUGUCUCUUAUAC
rnacentral:rRNA from 1 species